rnacentral:rRNA from 1 species
GCUACGGGGGGCAGCAGUGGGGAAUAUUGCACAAUGGGGGAAACCCUGAUGCAGCGACGCCGCGUGAGUGAAGAAGGAUCUCGGUACGUAAAGCUCUAUCAGCAGGGAAGAAAAUGACGGUACCUGACUAAGAAGCCCCGGCUAACCCCGUGCCAGCAGCCGCGGUAAUACGUAGGGGGCAAGCGUUAUCCGGAUGUACUGGGGGUAAAGGGAGCGGAGACGGCAGCCCAAGUCUGGAGUGAAAUCCCGGGGCUUAACCCCGGAACUGCUUUGGAAACUGUGCGGCUGGAGGGCAGGAGGGGUAAGCGGAAUUCCUAGUGUAGCGGUGAAAUGCGUAGAUAUUAGGAGGAACCCCGGUGGCGAAGGCGGCUUACUGGACUGUAACUGCCGUUGAGGCUCGAAAGCGUGGGGAGCAAACAGGAUUAGAUACCCUGUUAGUC